GGACCUUCAGACACAAAAGAUUCCUGCCACAGAGCAGAGUCUGCAGUGUCCAGCUGUCUGUCCAUGAAGAGCGACUGGUCUAAAGAUUAUCCUCCACUCUUCAGUGCUGAACCUGGAGCUCCAGACACAAAGGACAGGAAGAGGAGUCGAGGUGAUGUGAAGGAGCA